rnacentral:rRNA from 1 species
UAGAGUUUGAUCCUGGCUCAGGAUGAACGCUAGCGACAGGCUUAACACAUGCAAGUCGAGGGGCAGCGGGGAGGUAGCAAUACUUCCGCCGGCGACCGGCGCACGGGUGAGUAACACGUAUGGAACCUGCCCGUAGCAGGGGGAUAAGCGGAAGAAAUUCCGUCUAAUACCGCGUAAUAACUCCGAGAGGCAUCUCAUGGAGUUUAAAGGGUAAUACCGGCUACGGAUGGCCAUGCGGCGCAUUAGCUAGUUGGCGGGGUAACGGCCCACCAAGGCGACGAUGCGUAGGGGUUCUGAGAGGAAGGUCCCCCACACUGGUACUGAGACACGGACCAGACUCCUACGGGAGGCAGCAGUGAGGAAUAUUGGUCAAUGGGCGCGAGCCUGAACCAGCCAAGUCGCGUGAGGGAAGACGGUCCUAUGGAUUGUAAACCUCUUUUGUCGGGGAGCAAAAGGCGCCACGUGUGGCGUUCCGAGAGUACCCGAAGAAAAAGCAUCGGCUAACUCCGUGCCAGCAGCCGCGGUAAUACGGAGGAUGCGAGCGUUAUCCGGAUUUAUUGGGUUUAAAGGGUGCGCAGGCGGAAGAUCAAGUCAGCGGUAAAAUUGAGAGGCUCAACCUCUUCGAGCCGUUGAAACUGGUUUUCUUGAGUGAGCGAGAAGUAUGCGGAAUGCGUGGUGUAGCGGUGAAAUGCAUAGAUAUCACGCAGAACUCCGAUUGCGAAGGCAGCAUACCGGCGCUCAACUGACGCUCAUGCACGAAAGUGUGGGUAUCGAACAGGAUUAGAUACCCUGGUAGUCCACACAGUAAACGAUGAAUACUAAUUGUUCGGGGAGAAUGAUCCCUGAGUGAUACAGCGAAAGCGUUAAGUAUUCCACCUGGGGAGUACGCCGGCAACGGUGAAACUCAAAG